rnacentral:rRNA from 1 species
CCUACGGGAGGCAGCAGUGAGGAAUAUUGGUCAAUGGGCGCGAGCCUGAACCAGCCACGUCGCGUGAAGGAUGACUGCCCUACGGGUUGUAAACUUCUUUUAUAAAGGCGUAAAGUGAGGCACGUGUGCCUUUUUGUAUGUACUUUAUGAAUAAGGAUCGGCUAACUCCGUGCCAGCAGCCGCGGUAAUACGGAGGAUCCGAGCGUUAUCCGGAUUUAUUGGGUUUAAAGGGAGCGUAGAUGGGUUGUUAAGUCAGUUGUGAAAGUUUGCGGCUCAACCGUAAAAUUGCAAUUGAUACUGGCAGGCUUGAGUACAGUUGAGGUAGGCGGAAUUCGUGGUGUAGCGGUGAAAUGCUUAGAUAUCACGAAGAACUCCGAUUGCGAAGGCAGCUUACUAGACUGCAACUGACAUUGAUGCUCGAAAGUGUGGGUAUCAAACAGGAUUAGAUACCCGGGUAGUC